GACGAACGCUGGCGGCGUGCUUAACACAUGCAAGUCGAACGGAAAGGCCCUGCUUUUGUGGGGUGCUCGAGUGGCGAACGGGUGAGUAACACGUGAGUAACCUGCCCUUGACUUUGGGAUAACUUCAGGAAACUGGGGCUAAUACCGGAUAGGAGCUCCUGCUGCAUGGUGGGGGUUGGAAAGUUUCGGCGGUUGGGGAUGGACUCGCGGCUUAUCAGCUUGUUGGUGGGGUAGUGGCUUACCAAGGCUUUGACGGGUAGCCGGCCUGAGAGGGUGACCGGCCACAUUGGGACUGAGAGACGGCCCAGACUCCUACGGGAGGCAGCAGUGGGGAAUAUUGCACAACGGGCGGAAGCCUGAUGCAGCAACGCCGCGUGCGGGAUGACGGCCUUCGGGUUGUAAACCGCUGUCGCCUGUGACGAAGCGUGAGUGACGGUAAUGGGUAAAGAAGCACCGGCUAACUACGUG
rnacentral:rRNA from 1 species